GACGAACGCUGGCGGCGUGCUUAACACAUGCAAGUCGAACGGAAAGGCCCUGCUUUUGUGGGGUGCUCGAGUGGCGAACGGGUGAGUAACACGUGAGUAACCUGCCCUUGACUUUGGGAUAACUUCAGGAAACUGGGGCUAAUACCGGAUAGGAGCUCCUGCUGCAUGGUGGGGGUUGGAAAGUUUCGGCGGUUGGGGAUGGACUCGCGGCUUAUCAGCUUGUUGGUGGGGUAGUGGCUUACCAAGGCUUUGACGGGUAGCCGGCCUGAGAGGGUGACCGGCCACAUUGGGACUGAGAUACGGCCCAGACUCCUACGGGAGGCAGCAGUGGAGAAUAGUGCACAAUGGGCGGAAGCCUGAUGCAGCAACGCCGCGUGCGGGAUGACGGCCUUCGGGUUGUAAAACGCUUUCACCUGUGACGAAGCGUGAGUGACGGUAAUGGGUAAAGAAGCACCGGCUAACUACGU
rnacentral:rRNA from 1 species